rnacentral:miRNA from 1 species
CGUGGGGGCCGGGUGCUCACCG